rnacentral:rRNA from 1 species
GAUGAACGCUGGCGGCGUGCCUAAUACAUGCAAGUCGAGCGAACAGACGAGGAGCUUGCUCCUCUGACGUUAGCGGCGGACGGGUGAGUAACACGUGGAUAACCUACCUAUAAGACUGGGAUAACUUCGGGAAACCGGAGCUAAUACCGGAUAAUAUAUUGAACCGCAUGGUUCAAUAGUGAAAGACGGUUUUGCUGUCACUUAUAGAUGGAUCCGCGCCGCAUUAGCUAGUUGGUAAGGUAACGGCUUACCAAGGCAACGAUGCGUAGCCGACCUGAGAGGGGGAUCGGCCACACUGGAACUGAGACACGGUCCAGACUCCUACGGGAGGCAGCAGUAGGGAAUCGUCCGCAAUGGGCGAAAGCCUGACGGAGCAACGCCGCGUGAGUGAUGAAGGUCUUCGGAUCGUAAAACUCUGUUAUUAGGGAAGAGCAAAUGUGUAAGUAACUAUGCACGUCUUGACGGUACCUAAUCAGAAAGCCACGGCUAACUACGUG